UACAGAGGGUGCAAGCGUUGUUCGGAAUUACUGGGCGUAAAGCGUGCGCAGGCGGUUUUGUAAGCCAGAUGUGAAAUCCCCGGGCUUAACCUGGGAAUGGCAUUUGGGACUGCAAGGCUGGAGUGUGGCAGAGGAGACUGGAAUUCCCGGUGUAGCAGUGAAAUGCGUAGAUAUCGGGAGGAAUACCGAUGGCGAAGGCAGGUCUCUGGGCUGACACUGACGCUCAUGCACGAAAGCGUGGGGAGCAAACAGG
rnacentral:rRNA from 1 species